AUUCCCGUUGAUCCUGCGGGAGGUCGCUGCUAUCGGAAUUCGACUAAGACAUGCAAGUCAGGGGUCUUCGGACACCGGCAAAAGGCUGAGUAACACGUCGAUAAUCUGCCCUAAGAUUGAGGAUAACCUUGGUAACCUGAGUGUAAUACUCGAUAGGAAAUUGCUACUGGAAUGUGCUUUUUCUGAAACGUAAGGUCUUAGGAUGAGUCGGCGGUGGAUUAGGUAGUUGGCGAGGUAAAGGCUCACCAAGCCUGAGAUCCAUAGGGGCCAUGAAAGUGGUAGCCCCCAGAAGGACACUGAGAUACUGGUCCUAGCCCUACGGGGUGCAGCAGUCGCGAAAACUUUACAAUGCACGAAAGUGUGAUAAGGGAAUUCCGAGUGCUCAUGCAAUGCAUGGGCUUUUGCCAAGGGCAAAUACCUUGGCGAAUAAGUGGUGGGUAAGACUGGUGCCAGCAGCCGCGGUAACCCCAGCGCCACAAGUAGGGGCCGUGUAUUUGGUCUAAAGCGUCCGUAGCCGGUUCUGUAAAUUUUCUGUGAAAUCAUUUCGCCUAACGAAAUGGCGUGCAGGGAACACUGCAGGACUUGGGACCGGGAGGAGCUCGAAGUAUUCCGGGGGGAGCGGUAAAAUGCAUUAAUCC
rnacentral:rRNA from 1 species